AUUGAACGCUGGCGGCAGGCCUAACACAUGCAAGUCGAACGAGUGGCGGACGGGUGAGUAAUGUCUGGGAACCUGCCCGAUGGAGAGCGAUAACUACUGGAAACGGUAGCUAAUACCGCAUACCAUCGGAUGUGCCCAGAUGGGUUUAGCGAGUGGGUGGGGUAACGGCUCACCUAGGCGACGAUCCCUAGCUGGUCUGAGAGGAUGACCAGCCACACUGGAACUGAGACACGGUCCAGACUCCUACGGGAGGCAGCAGUGGGGAAUAUUGGACAAUGGGCGCAAGCCUGAUGCAGCCAUGCCGCGUGUAUGAAGAAGGCCUUCGGGUUGUAAAGUACUUUCAGCGAGGAGGCGUUACUCACAGAAGAAGCACCGGCUAACUCCGUGCCAGCAGCCGCGGUAAUAC
rnacentral:rRNA from 1 species